AACGAACGCUGGCGGCAGGCUUAACACAUGCAAGUCGAACGCCCCGCAAGGGGAGUGGCAGACGGGUGAGUAACGCGUGGGAAUCUACCUAGUUCUACGGAACAACAGUUGGAAACGACUGCUAAUACCGUAUACGCCCUAUGGGGGAAAGAUUUAUCGGAAUUAGAUGAGCCCGCGGAAGAUUAGCUAGUUGGGGAGGUAAUGGCUCACCAAGGCGACGACCUUUAGCUGGUCUGAGAGGAUGAUCAGCCACACUGGGACUGAGACACGGCCCAGACUCCUACGGGAGGCAGCAGUGGGGAAUAUUGGACAAUGGGCGCAAGCCUGAUCCAGCCAUGCCGCGUGAGUGAUGAAGGCCUUAGGGUUGUAAAGCUCUUUCAGUAGGGAAGAUAAUGACGGUACCUACAGAAGAAGCCCCGGCUAACUUCGUGCCAGCCGCCGCGGUAAGAC
rnacentral:rRNA from 1 species